GAGCGAGUCCAUUCACUGCAAGGGGGAAGUGGCUGCAGGACCGAAACCUGGAAGGCGGCCCUGGACAGGGGGCUGUGGAAGAAGGCUCAGGGAGGGCACGGCCCCAGGGAACCAAGCAUUCCUGCCAACACGAGGAGGCUCUUCGGAAGAGUAAUUGAGAGCACGGGCUUGGAGAUCCGGGCUAGAGUCUUUGCUCCAUCACUUACCAACGACAUGGCAACUGAGAUGAAGGUGACCCAGCUGCUGCCCGGAAGCCAGCCAGUCCCAUCUGCUGAGCCUUUGGCUCCUCCUCUCCAGGCGUCCUUCCUCCUGAGAGUCUGUGAGGCAAAGUCGUCCUUCCUCACCUACAGGGAGGCAGGCAUUGGUGCAAAGUCAGAAGUCGUUUAUCAUCGUGUACCGGCCCUCAGGCCCUGCGCUGAUUGCUUCACAUUCAUUUAAUCCCGAUUCCUGUCUACCUAGGAGCUCCCUGGAGCCCACAGGGGAAGCUGUUUCUCCUCCCACCCCUCAGAUCGCCCUUCCCUCCUAGAGAGAGGUUGGUCAGCCCGCUCAAGCACACACUCGGGCCUGCAGGAGCGUCAGGAUGGAGGAAAGCCUGCAAGACCACCCACCGCCCUACAGGAGGGCUGCCUUUCUCUAGAACAAGUCCCACUCUCCAGGGAAAACUGAGGCAAGACCUUAGCUCUGCUCCUCGUGACAAAGUGUAGACCUAAAAACAUUAGUUCCUGAGACUGGGGUCACGUAGUUCACUGCCAGGCCUGCCACAGGCUUUGGGGUUUUCUUUUUUAACUUUUUAUUUGCAAUGAUCAUAGCUUUACAGGAGGUUGCAAAAAAGUACACAGAGGCCCUGUGUGCCCUUCACUCAGUUUCCCCCAAUGGUAACAUCUUACAAGAUCAAAACCUCAGCCUUUAAAACGAGGUCAGUACCGUGGGGAAGGUGGGGCCAGAAACUGCUCACUCCUCCCCAGGAUUCCCCGAGAACUGGUAGAGGUAUGGAGACAAUCUGGGCUUUUAAGGGUCCGCUGGUCUCCUGAGGAUGGGUGGGCUGGUCUUGGCGGAGGUCAGAGACCAAGUGGCCAGGCACAAGGAGGCUGCAGAGUGGCCUUAGCAGGUCAUCAAAGAGAUGUGGGCAAAGCAGCAUCUUGGGGUGGAGUGCUUGCAACAUUGUUUCCAUAAUAAAAAAUUGGAAACAUCCUAAAUGGCUAGCAACAUGGGAUUGGCCAAGAAAAUAAUGAAGUACCCAUGCAACAAAGACAGUGUAGCACAAUAAUUACACUGUAGAAGUAUAAUUUUUAUCAGGGUAAAUGUUCAUGAUAUACUAGCAAGUGAAAAAAGUUAGAGCGUAAAACAUACGUGCAGUAUGAUUCCUUUGGGGGAAACACACACACAAAGCGCUGAAGAAUGUUAACAUUCUAACACUGGUUAUCUUUGGCAAUGGAAUUAUGAGUGGUUUUUAUUUUUCCCUCUGCAUCUUAUAAGUUUUCUGCAUUGAGUAUACAUGACUAUUGGAAUUAAAAAAAUAUAUUAUCAGAUCCACCCCUUGCCUUGACUUGGCACAAACUGGGGCUUCAUGUUGUUAGUGAGCAUAAGUGAGGCCAUCUUGUUUCGCUAAACAGCCCCAGCCCCUCCUCUGGGUGACUACUCGCUGCUCUGCACGUCCUCUAAAACAUUCACGUGCUGUCCUGAUUUAUGGCCAUGACUUAAGUGUGUACUCCCCCAUAGUUUGCUAAAUUAAAGCUUUGUUCUAUGAGUUUCUCUCCAGGAACAGGCUGACCACAGGUGGGAAACACACAUACAAAGUAUCCAUCACAGCUGACAGAAGAAUGGAACAAUGUGAU